CUUUUAAUGAAACAGAAAUAAAAUGAGAAAUAAAUAUAAAAGAAUUAUGUUCAUUAUAUAAAUGUUUAUUAGAAUUUGAACCAUAUUGUAAUGCCCCGCACUUUCCUAAGCUAGAAAGCGAACCGUUGUUCGUACAUGUGAAACCCCCAAUUCUGAAAGCCAUAUUUGGGCACAUGAAUUACCAAGAAUACCCUAGUUAUAAAAGAGCUUAUGAUGAGUUAAGUAUGGUUAUAUGAGUCACUUAAGGUAGUACAAGCUAAGAGUUUC
rnacentral:lncRNA from 1 species